GAUGAACGCUAGCGGCAGGCCUAACACAUGCAAGUCGAGGGGUAGAGGAAGCUUGCUUCCUUGAGACCGGCGCACGGGUGCGUAACGCGUAUGCAAUCUACCUUUUACAGAGGGAUAGCCCAGAGAAAUUUGGAUUAAUACCUCAUAGUAUUUUCGAAUGGCAUCAUUUGAUUAUUAAAGUUCCAACGGUAAAAGAUGAGCAUGCGUCCUAUUAGCUAGAUGGUAAGGUAACGGCUUACCAUGGCAACGAUAGGUAGGGGUCCUGAGAGGGAGAUCCCCCACACUGGUACUGAGACACGGACCAGACUCCUACGGGAGGCAGCAGUGAGGAAUAUUGGACAAUGGGCGCAAGCCUGAUCCAGCCAUGCCGCGUGCAGGAAGACGCAUCUAUGGUGUGUAAACUGCUUUUGUACGGGAAGAAACACUCCCUCGUGAGGGAGCUUGACGGUACCGUAGGAAUAAGGAUCGGCUAACUCCGUGCCAGCCGCCGCGGUAAAAC
rnacentral:rRNA from 1 species